CCACAACCUAGAAAAUAUUUUAUUUGCAGCAUGUUAAACCACAACGGCCAGGAUUUUACUAGGCAGAACUCUGACAGUAAUGGUUGUCUAGCUCGGAAGGAUGAUAUAUUGCUCAACUAAUAAUGUGUUAUUUGUCUAUAAAAUAGUGUUGGGUCAAUGAAAACUUUGAGUUAUAACAGUUCAAUCUGCAGGACCCUGGACGGCAGUCCAUAGUACACAAGGAUGUUGGAACUUUCGGACCAAAGUUUAGUUUAGGAGAUCUACAGAAUAGUCUUCUCUACAGUCCCAUAGAAAAGAAAAAAAAUUAUUUAGAUGGACAAAGAUAUUUGUUUUUUUAACAAAUCCCAUUGGCAAGCAGAGGGUCUGUAGAAGAGAAAUCCUACGAGGUGGCCAUAUUCCAUCAUCGCAUCUUCCAUUUAAACAACAACAAAGGCUGCACACAACGGUCAUCAAAAUAUUUUCGUUCACAAAACCAAAAAUCACCCUAUGCAUUUAAAGAGACAACGCUAGCAUAUUUUUCUUUUUAUUAAGUCCCAGUUUUGAACAUGGCACUGAUGGAAAAAAAAAACAAAAAAACAAAAACAGGGAUAUGUUAAAACGAAGUGCAUUUCAACCCAUUUAAAUGCUGAUUGACACCAAGUCUCAAAAGUAUUAUGUAAAAAAUAUAGUAUUGUCAUUUUGCAUAUAUUUUCCAAGCUUGUCUUGGCGUGCACUUGUGACGACAUAGGUAUUCUGACAUUGUCUCUAUUCUAUAUCCACGCCAGUAGAACCCAUGGAAGCUCUCACUGCAGAUAGAAAACAUUAAAAUGUACACUACUGUACAUUGUAGAUUUUAAUUCAAUGGAUUAGUUUAAUGGAGUGUAAACACCAUCAGAGAUUUCAGUCUGUGAAGACCCCUUUCGCAAAGAGAUACAGGUGUCCACUCUGUUAUAUAUUGGCUAGCAAACAAAUUAAUAAAAAAUGAUAUAUGUUUGCAUUGCAGGAGAUGGACCCUAGGGCAACCUAAUAAAUUAAAUGUAAAAUUAUUAGAAAAACAAAAUGUUUGAUUAAAGCUGGAAAAAAAAACCUUGAAGUUUUCAUAGUAUUUUUUUCUUAUAGAAAGGUUGGAGAUGAUACAUUUAUGAUCCACAUAGGCUUAACAAUCUGAUAGUACUUUUUCACAUUUCUAAAAUAGAAUGAAAGAAAAGUUUUGCUUUGUUAAAAAAAAUAAAAAAUAAAGAAAAGCGUUUAUAGGAUGUGCGAACACAUUGGAGUAAUGGAAAAAUAAUGAAAAUAAUUAAAUAAAAAUACUGAUAAAUAAAAAAAAAA